rnacentral:rRNA from 1 species
AUUGAACGCUGGCGGCAUGCUUUACACAUGCAAGUCGAACGGUAACAGGCCUUCGGGCGCUGACGAGUGGCGAACGGGUGAGUAAUGCAUCGGAACGUGCCCAGUCGUGGGGGAUAACUAUCCGAAAGGAUAGCUAAUACCGCAUACGAUCUGCGGAUGAAAGCGGGGGACCUUCGGGCCUCGCGCGAUUGGAGCGGCCGAUGUCAGAUUAGGUAGUUGGUGGGGUAAAGGCUCACCAAGCCAACGAUCUGUAGCUGGUCUGAGAGGACGACCAGCCACACUGGGACUGAGACGCGGCCCAGACUCCUACGGGAGGCAGCAGUGGGGAAUUUUGGACAAUGGGCGCAAGCCUGAUCCAGCAAUGCCGCGUGCAGGAAGAAGGCCUUCGGGUUGUAAACUGCUUUUGUACGGAACGAAACGGCUCUGGUUAAUACCCGGGGCUAAUGACGGUACCGUAAGAAUAAGCACCGGCUAACUACGUGCCAGCCGCCGCAGUAA